GAUGAACGCUGGCGGCGUGCUUAACACAUGCAAGUCGAACGAGAAAUGGAGACGGAAACCUUCGGGCGGAAGCCUUCAUUUCGAGUGGCGGACGGGUGAGUAACGCGUGGGUAACCUGCCUCAUACAGGGGGAUAACAGUUGGAAACGACUGUUAAUACCGCAUAAGACCACAGCACCGCAUGGUGCGGGGGUAAAAACUCCGGUGGUAUGAGAUGGACCCGCGUUCGAUUAGCCAGUUGGCGGGGUAACGGCCCACCAAAGCGACGAUCGAUAGCCGCUCUGAGAGGAUGACCGGCCACAUUGGGACUGAGACACGGCCCAAACUCCUACGGGAGGCAGCAGUGGGGAAUAUUGCACAAUGGGGGAAACCCUGAUGCAGCGACGCCGCGUGAGUGAAGAAGUAUUUCGGUAUGUAAAGCUCUAUCAGCAGGGAAGAAAAUGACGGUACCUGAGUAAGAAGCCCCGGCUAACUACGUGCCAGCAGCCGCGGUAAUACGUAGGGGGCAAGCGUUAUCCGGAUUUACUGGGUGUAAAGGGAGCGCAGACGGCUCUGCAAGUCUGAAGUGAAAGCCCGCGGCUUAACCGCGGGACUGCUUUGGAAACUGCAAGGCUUGAGUAUCGGAGGGGCAGGCGGAAUUCCUAGUGUAGCGGUGAAAUGCGUAGAUAUUAGGAAGAACACCGGUGGCGAAGGCGGCCUGCUGGACGAAAACUGACGUUGAGGCUCGAAGGCGUGGGGAGCAAACAGG
rnacentral:rRNA from 1 species